ACGCACGCUGGCGGCGUGCUUCACACAUGCAAGUCGAACGCUGAAGCUCAGCUUUUGUUGGGUGGAUGAGUGGCGAACGGGUGAGUAACACGUGAGUAACCUGCCUCCUUCUUUGGGAUAACGCCCGGAAACGGGUGCUAAUACUGGAUAUUCACUGGUCUUCGCAUGGGGGUUGGUGGAAAGGGUUUUUCUGGUGGGGGAUGGGCUCGCGGCCUAUCAGCUUGUUGGUGGGGUGAUGGCCUACCAAGGCUUUGACGGGUAGCCGGCCUGAGAGGGUGACCGGUCACAUUGGGACUGAGAUACGGCCCAGACUCCUACGGGAGGCAGCAGUGGGGAAUAUUGCACAAUGGGCGCAAGCCUGAUGCAGCGACGCCGCGUGAGGGAUGGAGGCCUUCGGGUUGUGAACCUCUUUCGCUCAUGGUCAAGCCGCAACAAUGGUUGUGGUGAGGGUAGUGGGUAAAGAAGCGCCGGCUAACUACGUG
rnacentral:rRNA from 1 species